rnacentral:rRNA from 1 species
GAUGAACGCUAGCGGCAGGCUUAACACAUGCAAGUCGAGGGGUAACGAUGGAGCUUGCUUCAGGCGACGACCGGCGCACGGGUGCGUAACGCGUAUACAAUCUACCUUUUACUAAGGAAUACCCCAGAGAAAUUUGGAUUAAUGCCUUAUGGUAUAUUUAGAUGGCAUCAUUUAGAUAUUAAAGAUUACGGUAAAAGAUGAGUAUGCGUUCUAUUAGCUAGAUGGAGUGGUAACGGCACCCCAUGGCAACGAUAGAUAGGGGCCCUGAGAGGGGGAUCCCCCACACUGGUACUGAGACACGGACCAGACUCCUACGGGAGGCAGCAGUGAGGAAUAUUGGACAAUGGAGGGAACUCUGAUCCAGCCAUGCCGCGUGCAGGAAGACUGCCCUAUGGGUUGUAAACUGCUUUUAUACAGGAAGAAACCGUUCUACGUGUAGAGCUUUGACGGUACUGUAAGAAUAAGGAUCGGCUAACUCCG